UGGCCUGGGGAGUUCCCAGGCUGAGGCCUUGCUAAAGGCCAGGGGAGGUACUAGGGCUGCAGGGAGGCAGCUGGGGCUAGAAAGGCAGUAGGUCCAACCCCCUUGCCAGUGAUGAGUGGCCCUUAAAGACUGCUGUUUGCACCUGAGAGAAGGGUCUAGAUGAUGACUCGCAGUAGUCACUGAGGUGAGGUGGGUAUAGGGGGUUGGGGUUCCCCUGGGAGGGGAGACCCAGACCCCUGGGGGCACUGCUGUGGGGUAACACCCCAAAGUAAGGGACACUGGGGUCCAGGAGGGACGCAGGGCCUGAAGUGUUACAAGUGGUGGAGAUUCACAGGAAGCAGGUACUGGUAGGAAGAUACCGGCCAGCAGGAGGUGCUCCGAGGCUGGAAUCGAGCUAAUUCACGGACGACCAGCAGGAGGCGCUGCACCAACCUGGUCUUCUGACCUCCUUUGCCGUUCCAAUGAUCUUUGAAGCCUUAUCUUCUAGAGGCAAAGCAAACAAUGCUCAAGAGAAACUGCGACUAACUUUGAAAGCAGAAAUCCCUGAAGUUGCUAUUGCCCUUGGAACCUUUGCAUAUGAUUAUGCUAUGCUUCUCUGCUGGAGUUUUGUUUGAUGGUGGUUGGACGGAAACAUUUUUGGGCAGGUCCUUGGAAAAACAAAGGGAAAAGAGGUUUUUAAAGCAGUUAUGUGAAAGUCGGCAAUGAAAAUACAUUCAACUGAACAGAACCUACAGAUAUAAUCUUGUGCAUCUGGAAUGAAGGGGAAAACACAGACAUUCCUCAUGUUCAACUGAGUUCACUCAAGGAAAGAUACAGACCGAAACUGUGCUUAGUUCUAGUGCUAAUUUAUGCUGCAGUAGUACAAUACAAAUGGCUGUAUGUUGAAAAUGUAGCAAAAUUGUAGUAGGUUACAAUCAAAUAUUUUCAACCUAAUGGUUAAUUGCUAUUUAUGACAUCUGAUGGUACAUCAUAUAAUUGUACAGAAAAGGUAUUUAUUACAAGAUUUUUUUCUCCUUUGUUCUCGUUAUCCAUAGUGAAUACAAAACAUUUGCAAAAUGCUUAUAAGGUCAGCCUGAGCAUCUAAAUGUGUACAACAUUACAAUAAGCCAUCCAGAGCACAAGAUGAAAGUUCCAUUUCACAAAGGAUGUGAGAUUUUGAAAUUUGGCUUCUUUCUGAAUUAAACCUGAACACUUCAAAAUUCUGGAAAAUUCUGAAGAAAGGAAAACUAUUUCAGGUCAAUCACAACAUUUUGUUUCAACAAAAUUGAAAUAUUUUUGUUGACUUUUUAAAAUUUGUGUGUGUGUGUGUGUGUAAUACAAAACAAAGUUGCUUAAAAACAUCAAAACAUUUUGUUCUGAAAAUAUUGAAAUGGGGUACGUUGAAACUGUCAAACUUUUCCCCCCCCAUUUUCUUCCGAAACAAAAUUUGGGUGAAAUUUACCUGAUUUAGUGAAGUGUUUCAGUUUCUAUGGAAUUGCAUAUUCUGAUAGAACAUGGUUCUGUUGAAGUUUCUCCAGCCAGCACUAAUUUUAUAACCUCUUGUAAAUGUGAUGGAGAGAGAAUAUACAAAUAAGUGGAGAGAGUAAAGAUUUUAUCUGCAUAGGUUUUCAGCCAUUGGCAAGAAAUGUUAUUUCUGCUCCUGUUUCUGUAUUUUUUUUCCCUGUUCCUAUGUAUACUAGGAUAGCUUAUAAAAUUAUCCUUCCAUAUUAUUUCAGAUAAGGUUUGGUACGUAGUCAGAGGUCCCUAGAUAGGCAAACUCUCAUUGUCUUCAAUGGAGAAUUUCUUGAUUUAGCCCAAUAUUUUUGCUCAUGUGUGCAUAUGGUUAAGGUCAUUUUGACAUGAGAAUACUAUAGCUGUGUGUAUACUCAUGCCCAUCAAAUACUUUUUUUUUAAAAUUUGGUUUGAUCAUUAGAUUUAUGAGAACACAGGAGGAAAUACUGGACAACAAACGUUGUAAUCUUGCAUGGUCCAAGUUCUGCUCUGAAUCACGAGGUGGAGGGACUCAUCUCAUGCUGCAUAGAAGCAGAGGAGGCAGAGGGCAUGCACAAAGAUGAGUCUUCGUCUGUGCUCACUCUUUCCCGAGAGAGGAGGGGACAUAACAAGAGAGAAAAGAUGCAGAAAAAGAGAAGAGAGACCAGAGAGUAAAUACAAAGGAAAGAAUGAACCUCCGGCAGAGAGGAACUGGAAACAGUCAGAGAAGGUGGAAGAAAGAAGUGAAGAAAGAGGGAGAGAGAGAAAAUACCCCAAGUGAAAGACAACUUCUAGGAUCAGGCAUUCCACGGGUGCGGAGGGGGCACCUCUCCAGGCCACAACGGCAGCAGCUACAGAUCAAACAGACAGAUGUAUCAUUGUACUUGCAGUCACAAUGGAAAGCAAAAGAUAAGAUUCAGAACUCCCUUCCUUUAUUCGCAUGAGAGUUUUAAAUAAGACUUGCUUAUUGCCACUUCAGCUUUGGAGCACCUCUGCACAGCACUGCUCUCCAAUCAUA